rnacentral:rRNA from 1 species
CCCCUAGACGUUCUGGGCUGCACGCGCGCUACAAUAAUACGCACAGCGAGUAUCACCGAGCUCGAAAGGGCAAGGUAAACAAUAGAAAAGGUACUGUAAUGGUUAUAGAUCCUUGUAAUUAUUGAUCUUCAACGAGGAAUUCCUAGUAAGUAUGUGUCAUCAUCACGCACUGAUUACGUCCCUGCCCUUUGUACACACCGCCCGUCGCUCCUACCGAUUGAAACAUACGGUGAAAAUCUCGGAGAGGAAUGUUCUUAGUGCAAAGUUCGCUUUGUAUUUCCAUGCUUCAAAGUUAUUUAAAUCUCAUGUUUUAGAGGAAGGAGAAGUCGUAACA